AGAGUUUGAUCCUGGCUCAGAACGAACGCUGGCGGCGUGCCUAACACAUGCAAGUCGAGCGGUCCAUGGGUUUCGGCCCAUGGGUAGCGGCAGACGGGUGAGUAACACGUGGGUAACCUGUCCUUGGGUGGGGAAUAACUACUCGAAAGGGUGGCUAAUACCGCAUAAGACCACGGUCUUGAGGGGCUGAGGUCAAAGGUGCAAAUCGCCUGAGGAGGGGCCCGCGGCCGAUUAGCUAGUUGGUGAGGUAAUGGCUCACCAAGGCGACGAUCGGUAGCUGGUCUGAGAGGAUGAUCAGCCACACUGGUACUGAGACACGGACCAGACUCCUACGGGAGGCAGCAGUGGGGAAUAUUGCGCAAUGGGCGAAAGCCUGACGCAGCAACGCCGCGUGGGUGAUGAAGGCCUUCGGGUCGUAAAGCCCUGUCAGAUGGGACGAAGAAAGUGACGGUACCAUCGAAGGAAGCACCGGCUAACUCCGUGCCAGCAGCCGCGGUAAUACGGAGGGUGCAAGCGUUGUUCGGAAUCACUGGGCGUAAAGGGCGCGUAGGCGGCUCCAUUAGUCUGAUGUGAAAGCCCGGGGCUCAACCCCGGAAGUGCAUUGGAAACUGUGGAGCUUGAGUUCGGGAGAGGAAGGCAGAAUUCCCGGUGUAGGGUUGAAAUCCGUAGAUAUCGGGAGGAAAACCGGGUGGCGAAGGCGGCCUUCUGGAACGAAACUGACGCUGAGGCGCGAAAGCGUGGGGAGCAAACAGGAUUAGAGACCCUGGUAGUCCACGCUGUAAACGAUGGAUGCUGGUGUGGGAAUUCCAUACGGAAUUCCGUGCCGAAGCUAACGCAUUAAGCAUCCCGCCUGGGGAGUACGGUCGCAAGACUAAAACUCAAAGGAAUUGACGG
rnacentral:rRNA from 1 species